AGCAGCCGCGGUAAUUCCAGCUCCAAUAGCGUAUAUUAAAGUUGCUGCAGUUAAAAGCUCGUAGUUGAAUUUCGGGAUCAAUAUGUCGGUCGUGCCUCGGUACGUACUGGCUUAUUGGUUUCUCCCUUCUGACGAACCAUGAUGUCAUUAAUUUGGUGUCAUGGGAAAUCAGGACUGUUACUUUGAAAAAAUUGAGUGCUUAAAGCAGGCUCACGCUUGAAUACAUUAGCAUGGAAUAAUGAAAUAGGACGUUUGAUUCUAUUUUGUUGGUUUCUAGGAUCGACGUAAUGAUUAAUAGGGAUAGUUGGGGGCAUUAGUAUUCAAUUGUCAGAGGUGAAAUUCUUGGAUUUAUUGAAGACUAACUACUGCGAAAGCAUUUGCCAAGGAUGUUUUCAUUAAUCAAGAACGAAAGUUAGGGGAUCGAAGACGAUCAGAUACCGUCGUAGUCUU
rnacentral:rRNA from 1 species